UUCAUCAGUGAUUCGGGCAGGUGGUUUGUUUUCCUAACCUCGAUAUAACCCAAGACUGGGAGGCACAGAACAGAUAAGGAUACAGAGAAAAGGCGAUAACAAUCAAGAUUCAAAAAUGAAAUACAUAUGUGUGUAUAUGUGUAUUUGGAAUAAUGAGAUAAAUGCCUUCAAAAGCCUUUAUGAAGCACUUACUAUUGGCCAGAUUCUCUUUUAAUCUUUGGGAGUCAAUUAUAUUGAUAUAUAAAGUGAAUGAAACAUUUCUGCCUCUGUGGCCCUCUCGUGAAAUUUGAACUGAGGUGUCUUGGUAAGCAGGCAGAGGAAAUCUGCUUCAGGUUGCCUCCAGAAUUCUCUGAUGGUGAUAUAGCUUCUGUUUCUGUGUCAGCUGAUCUUCAUCCAAAUGGUGUCAGUGAACCUUCCCCUCUCUGGUUUGUGGAUUCCCCUCAUGAAUCUAUCUUCUUAACACACAAUGCUUACUUC